rnacentral:rRNA from 1 species
GACGGAGGGUGCAAGCGUUAUUCGGAAUCAUUGGGCGUAAAGAGCGUGUAGGCGGCCGGUUAAGUCAGGUGUGAAAGCCCGGGGCUCAACCUCGGAAGUGCACUUGAAACUGGUCGGCUUGAGUUCGGGAGAGGGAAGCGGAAUUCCUGGUGUAGAGGUGAAAUUCGUAGAUAUCAGGAGGAACACCGGUGGCGAAGGCGGCUUCCUGGACCGAAACUGACGCUGAGAAGCGAAAGCGUGGGGAGCAAACAGG